rnacentral:lncRNA from 1 species
CUGGGAGAUUUCUACAGCUGCGUCUAUAACUACACCACCGACAUGAAAGAGGAACUCCAAAAAGUGAACUUGACGAGCCUUGAAAGCGCCAAGGAACUUGGAAAAGCGUUCAAGGAGUGCCUCAACGGACAAAUGGUGCCCUGGACGGAAGAAUUCUGGCCCAAUGACGACAACACAGCACUCGUCGGCGCGCCAUUUUUCUGAAUCGCAGCAUGACGAGGGUGCACGCGCCACGCUGCGGCAAGUGCUCGACGACGUUCGAAU